rnacentral:rRNA from 1 species
UACGUAGGGGGCGAGCGUUGUCCGGAUUUAUUGGGCGUAAAGAGCUCGUAGGCGGUUUGGUAAGUCGGGUGUGAAAUCUCCACGCUCAACGUGGAGGGGCCACUCGAUACCGCCAUGACUCGAGUCCGGUAGAGGAGUGUGGAAUUCCCGGUGUAGCGGUGAAAUGCGCAGAUAUCGGGAGGAACACCCGUAGCGAAGGCGGCACUCUGGGCCGGAACUGACGCUGAGGAGCGAAAGCGUGGGGAGCGAACAGG